ACCCCACUGGCUCAGUUGGUAAAGCACGUGACUCUUGAUCUUGGGGUUGUGGGUUAGAGCCCCAUAUUGGGUU
rnacentral:tRNA from 1 species